rnacentral:lncRNA from 1 species
AUAACAUCGUUUCCACAAUUACACCCAAUACCCUCAUGGUAAGUGUAAUGGUCGACCUAUGAAUACAAGUUAAAUUACUAGUUUUUUUUAGUCAUCUUCCCUUUCUACUUGUAUCUUUCCAUUCCAAUUCAACUACUUUCCUAGACAUGCACUGCAUUACCGAAUCGCUCAUGGCUAUUAGUUAGUCGUCUUCCCUUUCUACUCGAAUCUUUCCAUUCCAAAUCAACUGCUUUCUUAGACAUGCACUGCAUUGCUGAAUCACUCAUGACUAUUAGUAACAUGCUAAAGUAGCAACACUGAUUGGCACUUCAAGUAACAGUAAAAGGUCAAAGGGUAUUCCAAUUAAAGUUAAUGUAACUUCUUUGGGAUCUCACACAAUGAAGAAGCAGGGAUUCAUUCGUCCAUUAUUCCAUUGGUCGAUAGCACACGUGGUAUGAAACACAGGUUACGGUGUUCUCACC